UGAUGUGGAAGAACUCAACUACAUACUCAGGGCUCUCGUUACCCUUGCCCUCCAAGGUGAAUCCAACUUCUCAAAAUGUUCUGUUGCCCUCUAUCCCUGGAUUCCCCACAAAAGCCAACUCAGGUGGAAGGAGUAGAAUAAAGAAGAGGUUGGGAUGGAGGGUGGCAAAUCACAUAGAUGGGCUACUUGCUAGAAUCCGUUGGUUUGGCUUACCUGGAAAGAGGCAGUUUUGAAGUCUUCAUAGUGGGAAGAGGAGAUCAGGGAGGAUCAUCAUUACUGGAUGGAUUUUAGAACCAAAAGACCUAGCAUUUUGCCUAGCAUCUAUUUGGAGGAAGUGACAACUUCCUCCACUUUAUUAAUGCUUUCCCUUUAACUUGUCUCUUUUUUUUUUUUUUUAAGAUUUACUUAUUUAUGGCUGUGGUGGGUCUUCGUUGCUAUGUACAGGCUUUCUCUAGUUGCAGUGAGCACAGGCUUCUCCUUGUGGUGUGUUCUUUUGUUGUGGCACAUGGGCUUAGUUGCUCCAUGACAUGUGGAAUCCGCCUAGACCAGGGAUCAAACCAGUGUCCUUUGCAUGCAAAAGGAUUCUUAACUCCAGACCACCAGGGAAGCCCCUCUUAUCUCCUUAAUCACUAGAGGGAAGGAUCAUAAGUCCCUAGAAUGUCUAGGGCCUAUUAGAGUUUACACCUAAUCUUUCAAAUUUUCAUUCUAUCAUCCUCCCCAAAACCCAUGUCUAGGUUGGCAAAGGAAGUGAAAGACAUAGCCUUCCCUCCUUUGCUUUCUACUUUAACCUGAAAUGGCCUCAUCUUUUAAUGCCAUCCAGUAAUGAGGUCACCAAGUGGUACUGGCUAGAACUUGAAGUUUUCCCCAUCUUCUGAGGAUUUUCUUAACACCCACCAUACUGGCUGUUUGGGAAUUAGGCAUCAGCAUGCAGAACUAUGAUCAGAGAACUAGAGUCUGCCUCCACUGUGUACCCGAGGAUCCAAGGGCAAAAUGCUAGGUCUUUUGGUUCUAAAAUCCAUUUUCUUUCCAUUGUAUCAAUGCCUCUUAUAUUAAUGCCAAAUAUACAUUCAUUUUUGUGCCAGGUGCUUCCCUCCCUCUGGUCUUUAGGGGAGAAUGGUGGGGGGCAAGGAAGAAAGAGGACAAAGACAGACUCUUCUGCCAGAAGGCCUCUGGAGGCCAACUGCGGUUUGCUGCGUCUGUAAGAACGGUGUAAGUGAUAUCCUUGGACGCUCUUGUGAGGAGGAAGUCUUCAUCUUCCUUUUCAUGUAUGUAUUGUUCUGCGUCACUUAUAGCUCUUGCCCGGCUGUGCCAGAAGAAGAAUUGUUGAGACUUGUCCCAUUCCAGCUCCCGCACAGGUACUGAAGCAGAACCAUGGCAGUGGGAUCCUGAGUCCUUCCAUUGUAACAAGCUCCCUAGGUGACUCAGUGGACGUUUUAAGUUUGACUCCUGAAACAGGAAAUCAAGAUAAAAGGUGCCCAGGACUAAGAGUCAGCCCCACGUAGUCCAGCUGGAGAAAGAAUCCCGUCAUUCAGCCAUGCAGGCUUUCCCAGGCUUGUGGAAUCAAGUCACUUUCUUGUGUGUGAUACAUCUGCUAUUCAUCUUCUUCCUCCCAUUCCCUUCUCUCUAGGCUUCGUGAGGAUAAACCUCUACUUUUUCUGACUAGAUGUGAAUAAAGCCUACUUUUAACGAGUCCCCUUUGUCAGGGAGUCUAUCA